rnacentral:rRNA from 1 species
GACGAACGCUGGCGGCGCGCUUAACACAUGCAAGUCGAACGGAAAGGCCUGCUUUCCCUUGUGGAUUGCGGGUACUCGAGUGGCGAACGGGUGAGUAACACGUGAGUGAUCUGCCCCCAACUUGGGUAUAAGCCUGGGAAACUGGGUCUAAUUCCCGAUAGGACUGCAGGGUGGUGCCUGUGGUGGAAAACGAUUUUCUAGUGGUUGGGGAUGAGCUCGCGGCCUAUCAGCUUGUUGGUGGGGUAAUGGCCUACCAAGGCGGCGACGGGUAGCCGGCCUGAGAGGGUGGACGGCCACAUUGGGACUGAGAUACGGCCCAGACUCCUACGGGAGGCAGCAGUGGGGAAUAUUGCACAAUGAGCGGAAGCCUGAUGCAGCGACGCCGCGUGGGGGAUGACGGCCUUCGGGUUGUAAACUCCUUUCGACCGCGAGGAAGCCACCUGGUUGGAAGGGUGGUGACGGUAGUGGUAGAAGAAGCACCGGCUAACUACGUG